CAUCAUUGUAGUCAGAUUGAGCGCCACUGGCACCAAGAAUAGUCCAGAAAUCAAAUCCAAAAAAGAAAUCCUACCAAGAAGAUUGAUGAAGUAUAUUGAAGAGCCGGAUCAAAGAAGCUCCAUCCUCAUCGCCGGAGACUGAAAGCCAUUAUCAUCAUUGAAGAAGCUUUGCAUCGCUACCUCACCAAUCAUCACCACUAUCAAUAUAUACCAGAAAGUAGUUCCACCCAGCCAUGCUUUAAUAACCGGCUCUUGAGGUAAGAUGUCGUUGUCAUCAAGCUGUCUAAGGAAAACGGCUUUGUGAGCAGUGCCGGCUACAAAAAUGGCUAGGGUUAGCCAUUUAAAAUUUUUGGGGCUUCAUGUUUAAUGCUUUGUUCUACAAUACAAUAUGAAUGAAGAAGAUACAUAGAUAACAGCACUAUAACCUGUCUCUGUUAUUCUCUCAUAUUUGCACAUCGGUGGAGCCGUCUUUCACUUUCGUGGAGUCGCAUGUUCUUAACAAAGAUCCACUUGAAGUGGUGUUAAUGCUUCAACAUGGCUACCCAUUUUUGGGAUGCAAUCCAUUAGUUUCUUCGAUCUCGGGGGGGUUAUGAAUGCAAGUUUAAAUAUAAUCAACGCAUGUUCAUUUUCUUCAAACAAAUAGAAGGAUCAAAGUCGUUCAUUCUUUGUGCAAGAUGGCUGUUAUUAAUGCUUGUGUUCAUAAAGGAAGAUGAACAUCUUUUAUUGUCUUUCAUUUGUUUUGUCUAUUCAUAUUAGGAAGUCAGGUCUUUUGGUUUAUUUACACCCAUACAUAGAGGUUUGUUAAAUCCAUUAAAUGCACCAUUCGUUUUGUGUAAAUAGAAGAGACGCUCUAUAACUUUUUGGACAAUGCUUUUCUUUGUUUUGUGUGAGCUUUCUUUGUUCUUCUUCACCAAGCUUAUGCACGCAAGAAUGGAGAUGGAUUUCGGGGACUUUGCCAGUCUCGAUGCUUUAGGGCCUUCCUCUGGUGACUAUAGGAUCUUCGUGAAGGUGGAUGGGGCUUACUUGAGGACAAACUUUGACGUGUAUGACAGAGAUAUGGGGUGGCCAAAGAGGGUUCCAUCUGUGGAUUCCAAUGUAUUCGACCCUGCAGGACAUGCAUGAUCAAUCUCUGUUUUUGGAGAUGCCAACAUUAGGAGGUUUGUAAUAGGCUUGAAGAGACAAAGACCUACUAUAUUCACUUUUUCAGUUAGGUCUGAAGGUCUUGGAGUGCAUCGAAAGAUUCACUUGGAGUUGGACGAGCACACCGAGAUGGUGGAGCACUCUGUAAUUCAUUCCUUCCCAUUGCUUCAAGGUGAAGCCUGUUCGGGAACUCAGAUGUUUGUGGUUUCUUGAAAGAGAUGGUUAUAUACGAUUGGUAUGAAGAUGGAGGUAUGCUGACCUGGGGGCUGGAAUUUGUAGUGGAGGACAGUCGCGAUAAGCUCGAGUGCACUCUGUUUGGUGAUCCUGCAAUUGCUGCGUGGACCAGUUUUGGAGAGAAGAAAGAUAAGCCUGACCUCAUUGUGGUUGUUCACUACGCUCUUGUCAAGAGAGACUCCGGUAAGGUAUUCUACAUAUGGAAAAAGAUCACUUGUAGUUUUAUAAUUAACUAUGCCUUUGGUUCAUUAUUCCUGAAUCCUUCUCUUCCAUUUUCGCAAGACUGACCUCCCUCACGAAUUUUGCUAAUGUAACGAAGGUAUAUUUGGACCCACAAAUUCCUAAAACUUCAUGAUGUUCGAAGAGUCUUGUAGGCGAAGGUUAGUAGAGGUUGCCAUAUCAUGUGAGGGGUAUAGAAGUCAUAUUCAGAUACCGUACAUACCAAUAGAUGUUGGCUUUAAAAUCCAUUUCAAACCAUCUGUGCUUAUGGAUCGUGCAAUAGCUCAAUGUUUUUUUUUUGUUAUAGCUGGACUUAUGUACAUAUUUGAUGUUCCUUUUUUCGAUAAUGUUGAAAUUUGGAUCGGACU